rnacentral:rRNA from 1 species
GACGAACGCUGGCGGCGUGCCUAAUACAUGCAAGUCGAACGAAGCUCUUUUAACUGGUGCUUGCACCGACUUAAACAACUGAGUGGCGAACGGGUGAGUAACACGUGGGUAACCUGCCCCAAAGCGGGGGAUAACAUUUGGAAACAGAUGCUAAUACCGCAUAACCACAGAAACCACAUGGUUUCUGUGUCAAAGAUGGUUUCGGCUAUCACUUUGGGAUGGACCCGCGGCGUAUUAGCUAGUUGGUAAGGUAAUGGCUGACCAAGGCAAUGAUACGUAGCCGAACUGAGAGGUUGAUCGGCCACAUUGGGACUGAGACACGGCCCAAACCCCUACGGGAGUCAGCAGUAGGGAAUCUUCCACAAUGGACGAAAGUCUGAUGGAGCAACGCCGCGUGAGUGAAGAAGGUUUUCGGAUCGUAAAACUCUGUUGUCAGAGAAGAACGUGUGCGAGAGUAACUGUUCGUGCAGUGACGGUAUCUGGCCAGAAAGCCACGGCUAACUACGUGCCAGCCGCCGCGGUAA